AAGACUAAAACGGUAGCAAAUAUUGUUAGUAAGACGGGGGAGAAAUAACCCCCAUAGAAUAUAAAAGGUAAUCACAUCUGCAUUAUAUUCUAACCGAAGGU
rnacentral:sRNA from 10 species